rnacentral:rRNA from 1 species
GACGUAGGGCGCGAGCGUUGUCCGGAUUUAUUGGGCGUAAAGAGCUCGUAGGCGGCUUGUUGCGUCGACCGUGAAAACCUGUGGCUUAACCACAGGCUUGCGGUUGAUACGGGCAGGCUAGAGUUCGGUAGGGGAGACUGGAAUUCCGUGGUGUAGCGGUGAAAUGGCGACGAUAUAGGAGGAACACCGGUGGCGAAGGCGGGUCUCUGGGCCGAUACUGACGCUGAGGAGCGAAAGCGUGGGGAGCGAACAGG